UUAUGACGUAGUUAACAAAAUGCCCUUUUUGUGAUGAUAAAAUUAUAUUAUUUUAAUAACAAUAAAAAAGAAAAGUUACAUUAAUGUCUCUAAAAUGUCAAUUUUGACGUAUAAAAGAAGAUAUAGAAUUGACCUGCCUUUUACCGGGAUGGCGUUCUGUGUUGCCAAAUUAGAUAAUUUCUAGCUAGAUCUAGAGGAUUUAGUUUCGAUUUAGGAUGGUCUGUGCUGUCUUGCCGGCAUCAUGAGAGAAAGAGAGAGGAGCGGUCGCCGUUCCAACAAGUUGGCGCAAGAAGAGGCAUCCAUCAUCCUGUCGGUGACGUCACGGGAGCGAAAUAAGGCCAAAUGACAAGCCACUGAUUGCCUUUUAUUGGGAGCUUUAACGCCGGAUGGGGUACUUCGAGAAAAUACGACGUAUACAGCCAGCAACGGCCAACAUUGGAUUAAGCUUUAAUUAUUUUAAAGGGCUCACAGAAACUUCGACUGAGGAACAAAAAUGAGACACAGCGUACCAACAUUUAGUUAAAUACAUAAUGAAGAAAUCGGAUUUCCCGUUUUUUUCACUACGCUUAACUCGAAAUAGACUUAGACUCAAGAUGUUAAAAAUUAAAGCUUGUUGGACCUACAUUUUUAAGGAAAUAGUCAAACAAAAAAUAUAUCUAGUAUUUUGUUAAAUUAGGUUUUUAAAUUUUUAAUAAUUUGCGAAUAUACAGCGUGCUUUUCCAAACAUAUGUUCUAAAAUGCUUCUUCUCAAAGCUACAGCCCGCGCAAAUUUAGUAAUAGAAAUUGAAUAUUUGGAACCAUGACUACAGUUUUGCGUCAAAUCUUCUGAAAAUUUGUAAGUUUCCGGUUUUCAGGGCUUUUUUUAUUUUCCAUUCUAAAAAUAAUGU